AUAAAGGAUUGAGCGCUUUGAGAUCUAUGUAGACAGGUAGAUGAUAAAAGAUACAUUGCUUUGGGAUUGAUGCAGAUGGAUGAAUUAUAGAGGAUAAAAUGCUUUAAGAUCUAUGAAUACUUUGAGAUCUAUACAGACAGAUAGAUGACAAAGGAUAGAUUAUUUUUAAGAUCUAUGCAGUCGGAUGGAUGAUAGAGAAUGGGAUACUUUAAGAUCUAUGUAGUUGAAUGGAUGAUAAAGAAUAAAAUACUUUAUGAUUUGUGCAAAUGGAUAAAUAAUAGAAGAUAGAGCAUUUUAAGAUAUAUGGA
rnacentral:lncRNA from 1 species